UGUAAUGACUUCUGGCACCAAGUGUGGU
rnacentral:piRNA from 1 species